ACGUCAAAGCGUAUACAAAGUCGAGUCGGUUUAAGGAUACGUUCGUUGGGUAGGGGAGCGUUCUGUAAGCCUGCGAAGGUGGCCUGUGAGGGUUGCUGGAGGUAUCAGAAGUGCGAAUGCUGACAUAAGUAACGAUAAAGCGGGUGAAAAGCCCGCUCGCCGGAAGACCAAGGGUUCCUGUCCAACGUUAAUCGGGGCAGGGUGAGUCGACCCCUAAGGCGAGGCCGAAAGGCGUAGUCGAUGGGAAACGGGUUAAUAUUCCCGUACUUGGUGUUACUGCGAAGGGGGGACGGAGAAGGCUAUGUUGGCCGGGCGACGGUUGUCCCGGUUUAAGCGUGUAGGUGUGUGUUCCAGGUAAAUCCGGUUCACUUUAACACUGAGGCGUGAUGACGAGGCACUACGGUGCUGAAGCAACAAAUGCCCUGCUUCCAGGAAAAGCCUCUAAGCAUCAGGUAACAUCAAAUCGUACCCCAAACCGACACAGGUGGUCAGGUAGAGAAUACCAAGGCGCUUGAGAGAACUCGGGUGAAGGAACUAGGCAAAAUGGUGCCGUAACUUCGGGAGAAGGCACGCUGACACGUAG
rnacentral:rRNA from 1 species